UACAGAGGGGGCAAGCGUUGUUCGGAAUUACUGGGCGUAAAGGGCGCGUAGGCGGCCACCUAAGUCAGACGUGAAAUCCCUCGGCUCAACCGGGGAACUGCGUCUGAAACUGGUUGGCUUGAGUGCAGGAGAGGAAUGCGGAAUUCCAGGUGUAGCGGUGAAAUGCGUAGAUAUCUGGAGGAACACCGGUGGCGAAGGCGGCAUUCUGGACCGGUAUUGACGCUGAGGCGCGAAAGCCAGGGGAGCAAACGGG
rnacentral:rRNA from 1 species